GGGCAAAUUCUCCUGGCCUGAUCGGCGCGCAGGCGCAGUCAGGACGACAACUGCGUGUUAAGGACUUUAACCCUAACAGUGCUGCGGAAUAAAGAAGCUUGUCCUUUUUUGGUUGAGAAAAAGAGACAGCAAAAUUCCCAGGACUAACUGCCAACAGGUCUAGCAGAACCAGUGAGCUCCAGGCCAAUGAAAAGGCUCUGUCUCAACAAACAAGGUGCCUGCAGAGGUUAGAAGAUGGCAUUGAAUCCCCUGGA